rnacentral:rRNA from 1 species
GCAUGAAGUCGGAAUUGCUAGUAAUCGCGGAUCAGCAUGCCGCGGUGAAUACGUUCCCGGGCCUUGUACACACCGCCCGUCACACCAUGGGAGCCGGUAAUACCCGAAGUCAGUAGUCCAACCACGUGAGGACGCUGCCGAAGGUAGGAUUGGCGACUGGGGUGAAGUCGUAACAAGGUAUC